rnacentral:rRNA from 1 species
AGUGAACGCUGGCGGUAGGCCUAACACAUGCAAGUCGAACGGCAGCACAGUAAGAGCUUGCUCUUACGGGUGGCGAGUGGCGGACGGGUGAGGAAUACAUCGGAAUCUACUUUUUCGUGGGGGAUAACGUAGGGAAACUUACGCUAAUACCGCAUACGACCUACGGGUGAAAGCAGGGGAUCUUCGGACCUUGCGCGAUUGAAUGAGCCGAUGUCGGAUUAGCUAGUUGGCGGGGUAAAGGCCCACCAAGGCGACGAUCCGUAGCUGGUCUGAGAGGAUGAUCGGCCACACUGGAACUGAGACACGGUCCAGACUCCUACGGGAGGCAGCAGUGGGGAAUAUUGGACAAUGGGCGCAAGCCUGAUCCAGCCAUACCGCGUGGGUGAAGAAGGCCUUCGGGGUGUAAAGCCCUUUUGUUGGGAAAGAAAAGCAGCAGGUUAAUACCCCGCUGUUCUGACGGUACCCAAAGAAUAAGCACCGGCUAACUUCGUG